rnacentral:misc_RNA from 1 species
GCUUUACUGGAAGUGUGGGUCAUAUAAUUGAUCACUUAUGAACAUUUAGAGGUUCUAAAGAUUCAGUCCGUAGUUGUUUUUAUUUGUGUUCGUCUCCUUAAAAUCCCAGCAAUAUUUUACACAUUAAGCCAGAUUCAUAGUAGGCCAAAAAUUCACGUCUGUUAUGAAUAUAACAUUUGUUUCUUUCAGAUGUAACAAAAAAAAAAAAUACAACAUUUCUAAUAUAGUCUUUGCUAUGACAUUUAUCAAACAGCAUAGAUGGAAAUCAAUUAGACGUUUUGGCACCAAAAAAUUUAGAAAGCUCCUUGACAAUAGGUUUCUCUUUAAUAUCUUCCUCCCUACUGAGAUGCCAUUUCUUUGAUUUGUCUUCUGCCUGAAAUCAGAAGCUCCUUGUUAGUACAAGAAGAAAAGUAAAAAGGGUAAGGAUUAAAAUUGUAUAAUUGGCAUACCCAUGUUUUUAAAGGCACCAAUUGCUCUCUAAUAAUCUCAAAUUUUGGCUGAACCAAAUCUUUCCCUUUAGUUCUGAUAUCAUCACUAUUGUGCAGGUCUAGCAUGGAGACUGCCAAACUGAACACCACUGCGGCUCCACCAAACACAAUUGCAGUAGCAACUGCAAAUGCCUUUCCAAUCUGUGUGAGCCCUUCAGCUGCAGCCUUCAAUUUCUCUGGAUUUAUAGGGGUAUAUCUGUCUUUUCUCAUUUCGUUCGCCGUCGACGCCAACACCGAGUUCUCUUGUGACGGCAAUUCCCACCUUUUGGGGCCAAAGGUGACCUGAGGCAGAGAUAGAUAAGCUCUCAGAGGAUUCAAAGCAUCAGGGGACACAGUGGAGGCCUUACUGGCAUGGGAGUGCAGUGCCCACUUGGAGGCUGUGGAAAGAGACGAUGAAUCGGACGGUUUCCCGUAGAUGUAGGAGGGAAGGGAAUGCCUCAAGACCUCCGGAAGAAUGUCAGCUUGGGAUUCGUGCUCGCUUGAAAGAGGAGAGGACGGGAGGUUCUUGGAGGUGGGGAUGGAUUUCUCAGCAAGCCGGUUAACGGCAUGUUUGGAUUCCUGGAAAAAGUAGGCAGCUUCUUUUCCUGCUAGCCUUCCCGCGAGAAAACUCAUUCUCUAUGCGGAUGUUGGAUUCGAUGUGAUCGACUAGAUUUUGAUUUGGCUUGUUUUUACUCUCUUGAGGUAUUUAAUGGCUUGUUU